GAAGGUAUAGCUCAGUGGUGGAGUGUGUGCUUAGCAUGCGCGAGGCACUGGGUUCAAUCCCCCGCACCUGCG
rnacentral:tRNA from 1 species